UUCAGCUUUUUCUUAAUUUAAUCCAUAUAAUUGAUUAACUAUUCAAAAAAUGUACAUUAUAAAAUUUUUUAUUCAAAUAUAAUCUUAAUCUUAUCUGUAAUAUUAUGUCUUAACAUCAUCAUCAGUUGUGAAAUGAUAAUCACAGUCUUAAUAAAAGCGAAGCAAUGAGAUAUUCAUCUAACAGUUAGAAAUAUUUGUGCACUAUAAUGCUUUAAUCAUAGAUCAUUAGAUAUUCAAUCAAUCAUUAGAUCAAAUUCAAUCACAGCGGCCAUUUCAUAUAAAAUAAUCUACGUUUAGCAUAAAUCUAGUUUACCAUAUCUUUUAAAAGAAUUUAUCAUGCGAUUUUAUCAUUGAUUAAAACAUUUAUUUUUACGGAAUGUCAUUUCUUUCCUUCCCAAGGAAGAUUGUGUGUAUACUUAUUUCAAUGCUAACGAUAGUUCGUAUGAGUUGCACAAACUAAAUAGAUAAGGAAAUAAAUUUAACAGUGUGCAGUGACACGGCGCAGGCUCAUAGAGCUCCACCUCGUGGAGUGAAACUGAAGUUCGAGGGAGAAACACGUGACGACGGCUCGAUGAAAUAUAUCUUCGGUUCUAAGCGUGGUUCCUGCUCGUAAAGGAGGCUUGGAUUACAUGGAUAUAAUCCGGCCAUUAAACGGAUAAUACAGAGAAGAAAGCAGAAAGAAAUCGUAAAGGGAACCGACUGUACCAUGGUCGCUAUUUCCAAGAACACGGAAUGUUUCGUAAAUUGCGAAAGUUGGCGAAUCGCGGGCAUCGAAGCAUAGAAUUUCGUCUCUUGGAUCAAAAGGAGCGAUUCCGUGGAGAAGAUAUAUUCCACGGUCGAUGACUUUUUCUGGAAAACCGAUUUCACGAUAAAAAGAACUGAAUUUGCAUGACAAACCAUCGCUGAAUCGUUUGACAACGGUAUACUUUAAUUUCGAGACUUCGUGGUACGAUGAAAGUCAAACUAUGUAUAGUAAAAACAGGACAAUAAAAAAAUGUUUUUUGCUUUGA